rnacentral:rRNA from 1 species
UGCGUAGGUGGUGGGGUAAGUCUGAUGUGAAAUCUCCGAGCUUAACUCGGAAAUGGCAUUGGAAACUACCUCGCUGGAGGGUUGGAGGGGGGACGUGGAAUUCUCGGUGUAGCAGUGAAAUGCGUAGAUAUCGAGAGGAACACCAGUGGCGAAGGCGAGUCCCUGGACAACUCCUGACACUGAGGCACGAAAGCUAGGGGAGCAAACA